rnacentral:lncRNA from 10 species
UGGAUCACAAGGUCAAGAGUUGAGACCAGCCUGGCCAACAUGGUGAAACCCGGUCUCUACUGUAAAGAAUACAAAAAUGAGCUGGGUGUGGUGGCACAUGCCUAUAAUCCCAGCUACUCAGGAGGCUGAGGCAGGAGAAUUGCUUGAACCCAGGAGGCAGAGGUUGCAGUGAGCCGAGAUCGCACCACUGCACUCCAGCCUGGACUACAGAGCAAGACUCCAUCUCAAAAAAAAAAAAAAAAAUGCCCAAGGCUGCCCAGACUGGUGGCCCACCGAGUCCUCCAGCCCCAAAUGUCUCUGCCUGUCAACACCUUGCAUCCUCCAGCCCCACAAGCCAUUCUAAUCUCCUUCUAGGAACAGAACUGGCAAAGAGGCAAGAGGUCACUGAGGGCCUCUGUCACCCAGGACCUGCCUCCUGCCUGCCCCUCUCCCGCCAGACUGUUAGAAAAUGGACACUGUGCCCAGCCCGGACCUUGGCAGCCCAGGCCGGGGUGGAGC